AAUCUAUUAUAUGUUUGAAGAAGACAUACUCCAAAAUGUUCAGCUAAAAUGCAUUGACCUAAAGGGGUAUCGUGGGGUUCUCCAGCAUGGACUGAUAAUGGGUUGUUCAAUGACCAGAAAUGAUGUCUGCAUCAACGAACUUUCCCCUACAGGUAAUUAGUGUUAUUCCUUUGCCAUAGUAUUGUGUUGUAUGUGGUAUCAAUGAUACUUUUUUUGCUUUGUUUUUAUGGUUUUCCUUAUUCAUGGAUACUUCAUUCGCCAGUAUGAACCUUUGCUAAUACUACAGUAUGCAAGCAUUUUGCACUUUAUAAUAUGUCUUAAGAUUUUGCACAGAAUAGUAGUUUUAACAAUUAUACAGAGUUUAGAUUUGCUGUUUGGUACGAAACACUGUUUUCCUCAACGCAUAAUUAAUUAGACCAGCCCCCCAUGAGCAUGAACAUCACUGCUUCGAAUUCGUUGUUGUCAGAUCAUCCUCAUCUACAAUCCAGUGGGCAUCUUAGUGUCUAAUAUUUAAUUAAUAUUUAUUCAAAAUUGUGCUAUUUGCUGGUUCUAUCUAUAUGGUAGUUCAAUUGUUGAUUUCUAAUGAAUAUCAUGCCUCAAUGUCAUUGGAAAUCCGUCCAAACAUUUUAUUUGUGGAUAUGGAAACCCAUUAUUUGGACCAAAACAUUCAUGACUAUAAAAGUUACCAUGCCCUAGAAUUAUUUAUUGAUAACGAUUUUUUCUGUUUUUCUUUUGUUUCUACGGGGAGUACGGGGUAAAACAUUAAACAAAGGUUUGCUGAAUUGACUCAAAGCUACAAUAAGCUUAAUAUUAAGGAACGACCGAAUGUGUUAGAUCAAUGUUCAAGACCUAAAUCGGCCCAUAACUGCAAAUUAAUUUGUAUACAUAGAAAAUACAUGUAGAAAUCAUAUAGAAACUACUGAACUUUCAAUCACUAUUGAUCACUCUCUUUCUUAUUAUCCCUAGGUAAUUAAUCGCGAUGUGAUGACCAAAUUGCAACUGCUGCCCAAACACUAUGUGUUUUAUAUAAGGCAGUUAAGAGCUGGGAUAGCAUUACUGAUUCACUGAUAUUGAGAUAUUUUUGGGAAACUUCAACUGUUAAGUUUCAUAGGAUCAUGCCAUCAAUCAUAUCCAAAGAAUUGAUCUUUAGUUUCACAUUUUUUAGAAAAAUAUAUCUCAACCAUAUCUCUGAUUAUUUUAUUGCAGAAUCAUACAAAAAUUAUACUUAUGAAUGAACUUGAACAAAAACUUAUUCUGUAAAGUGCAAAUGAUCGAUUCCUACAACAAAUCAUGAAGAUUAAGAAAGAACACAUGCAUGUGGUUUCUACUAUUUUCUGAUUAUCAUGGAGGGUCCAAAAACUGCUGGUCGUCAAGUCACAGUGCAGAACCUUUUUGCAGAAACAGAAAAUAUCCUCUUAUGGUCUUAUGGAAACACUAAAGAUGUUGAUUUCAUGCUCAUUCAUGCAUCUAUACAGCUUCCGGUAAUUAUUUCUGAUAUCUAAACUUAAUAAGAGCAUUGAUUGCCAUUAUGGACUUUGAUGUUAACUUGGUCUUGGGAAGUUCAGUUUGACCAGGAUUAGGUCAUGACAAGAGUAUUGAAAACCCUAGAUUCUUUGGGCAUAUUUGACUAUAUAAAAGUUGGUUGUGGACAUCUGACAUGACUAUAUUGUGCAAUGCCAUUGUGGAAUCUGAUGCUGACUUGGUCUUGGGAAGUUCACUUUGACACAGGAAUCCAGGAUUAAAGCCUUAGAUUCUUUGGGCAUGACUGACCAUAUAAAAUAGGUUGUGAACAUCUGACAUGAUUAUAUUGUGCAACAUUUAUGUUUAUGGGUAAAAAUUUGUUGAUGAUCUUUGUUUACAUUUCAUAUUUUCCAGAGAAAAGCUCAAACUCUUCGUGGUGUUCAGAAUUAUAUGGUGGCCAUUGUCGGUGCCUUAUAUGAAGCAUUUAGCACUACUGCGUGUUUUAUUCAAUACCCACAAUUUAUGAUGUUCCUACUUCAUUUGUGAAUAUUGUCAUUCAAUACCCACAAUUUAUCAUCAACAACUAAUAUCUCCAAGUAUGGGGAAAAUGCCUAAUAUUAUGAGAUAACAAUGGUGAAAAUUUAGGCAUAUGUAUGGAGAUUGUUUCUGUAUUGUGUUGAAUAAUGGAUAAUCGAGUUUAAAGUAUUGUUUUUUCUUUUUGAAGUAGUUGUUCUUCAUUUUGCAUUAAAAUGUGAUGAAGAUUAAUUUGAGUUUCAGAAGAUGUGAAGGAUAGAUAGCUGGGCUUUGAUAAGAGUCUCUGUCUCCAUACUAAAGUAUUAGAAGAAACCUUUGAGCUUUGAUAUGUAUAAAUCAUUGAGUUAUGUAUAAAUUUUUGUGGUUACAGCUACUGGAGACAAGAAAACAGAAAUCUGCAGUGAACAAAAGAACUCUAUAAAUGAUUUUCAUAGUGAAGGUGAGUGCCCCUAUCAUUGCUACUUAAUAAUAUACGAGUAAUUUGUGUUGCAUACUCUAUUUCCUACAUAUGGCCUUUGGAUACCAUUUUGCCUUUUCAUAUUAUUUUUUACGUACUAGAGAUUAUGAAAGAAAUUAAACCAAAUUGUUAUUAUUGUUAUUGAUAAAUUGAUAAAUUGAAAUUUAGUUGAACUAUAUUGGACCACAAGGUCAUGUGUGUUGGGAAUAAAUUUGGCAUUUAGCAUAGUAUUAUGCAUAAUAAGCUCGGGUAGCUUGGUUGGUUAGAACAUGUGGCUUUUAAACCACAAGGUCGGAGGUUCAAACCCUUCCUCUAGCAUCUUCAUUUUCUUAGUAUAGUUUCACAUUUAGCAUUUUAUGCAUGACAGUGUCACAUUUACUAAUUGCAAUGCACUAGACUUAGUUGACGAAACUAAAAGUUCAACUGUUACUUAGCAUACUUGUAAUAACCCCCAUAGAUUGUGGAAUACCUGGAAGUUCCCAAAUGUUGCCCUAAAUUAAUUUGGAAACAACCUGCCUUUACUUAGCCUUAGGCAUCUGUAUUAGUGGGCUCCAAGCAAGCUAAGCAAAGCCAUUGGGGCCAUCAAAGAUCGAACUCGUAUCAGCCUAGCAAGGGUCAGUAAUAGCAAUUACUUUGCUGAUCAUUGGAGAGAUUGCAAACUUCUUUUUUAAAAAUUUAUUUGAAAACUACAGUCAUUUCCAUUAUUUGAGACCAAUAAAUUGUUCUAAUCAAAAUUUGAUCUAGAUCCGCUAAUGGAGAGUGGAUACUAUUCUUUUAUGUUUAAUUUCUACUGGAUAUUUUCGACUGAAACUACAAAUGGUUAGUGGAUACCUUUAGAACCGAAACUACAAGUGGUUAGAGGAUCGAAUACUUUUUUGUUAUGGUUCCAGCCUGAUGUUGUUUUGUAAGAUAUACGUAUAGUUGAAAACCAAGUGGAUUGCAAUGGAAUUUCCAUGUUGAGAUGGGAUUUCAGAAAACCAAGUGCAUUUCAAUAUUAAGUUUAAAUUCACAAAGAGUAUUCAGAUCUCACAAUCAUAAUCUCAAAAUGGCCAUGCCAAGUGCUACAUCUGCAGAUAUGGAGUUGCUUUCAUCUGCAGAAAUACUAAAGGAUCUUUUAUAAGUGCAGGCACCUGCACUGGUGCAGCAAGCAGCAGUGAACAAGAAGAGUGUUGCGGAAUCUGGUCAGCAGUACAAUGGGCCUGCAACCAAGGAGUGAAGAGGCUGGAAGUUGAAACAGACUGCAGAUCUACUGCAGAAUUUUUAAAGGGGGAAACCGGCUAAUCUUGCUUGGUCCUCAAUUACUAUCUUAAAUGAUAUUUCGGAAUGGUUGAAGUACUUUGAUUUUAUUUGCUUUAAGUUCUGUAAUCACACAGGUCAUCAUGCCUAUUCAGUUUUUAUUUACUCCCAACUCUGUCUGAACAACUAGACAGAUAAUCUGUUCUGUAAUAUUUCAGAAGCUAUUUGACUAAUGUAUGUAUAUGUUGACUAUAAAAAAA
rnacentral:lncRNA from 1 species